CUUUUUAUUCACGCUCUUUUCUUC
rnacentral:snRNA from 1 species